CAAUAGCGUAUAUUAAAGUUGUUGCGGUUAAAAAGCUCGUAGUUGGAUUUCUGCCGAGGACGACCGGUCCGCCCUCCGGGUGAGUAUCUGGUUUGGCCUGGGCAUCUUCUUGGAGAACGUAGCUGCACUUGACUGUGUGGUGCGGUGUCCAGGACUUUUACUUUGAGGAAAUUAGAGUGUUUCAAGCAGGCACACGCCUUGAAUACAUUAGCAUGGAAUAAUAAGAUAGGACCUCGGUUCUAUUUUGUUGGUUUCUAGAACUGAGGUAAUGAUUGAUAGGGAUAGUUGGGGGCAUUCGUAUUUAACUGUCAGAGGUGAAAUUCUUGGAUCUGUUAAAGACGGACUACUGCGAAAGCAUUUGCCAAGGAUGUUUUCAUUGA
rnacentral:rRNA from 1 species